AUUGAACGCUGGCGGCAUGCCUUACACAUGCAAGUCGAACGGCAGCACGGGAGCUUGCUCCUGGUGGCGAGUGGCGAACGGGUGAGUAAUACAUCGGAACGUACCCUGAAGUGGGGGAUAACGUAGCGAAAGUUACGCUAAUACCGCAUAUUCUGUGAGCAGGAAAGAGGGGGAUCGCAAGACCUCUUGCUUUAGGAGCGGCCGAUGUCGGAUUAGCUAGUUGGUGAGGUAAAGGCUCACCAAGGCGACGAUCCGUAGCGGGUCUGAGAGGAUGAUCCGCCACACUGGGACUGAGACACGGCCCAGACUCCUACGGGAGGCAGCAGUGGGGGAAUUUUGGGACAAUGGGCGCAAGCCUGAUCCAGCCAUGCCGCGUGAGUGAAGAAGGCC
rnacentral:rRNA from 1 species